UGGGGAAUAUUGNACAAUGGGGGGCAAGCCUGAUCCAGCAAUNCCGCGUGUGUGAAGAAGGCUUGAGGGUUGUAAAGCACUUUCAAUUGUGAAGAAAAGNUNNNNNUUAAUACCCGUUNACCUUGACGUUACCUAUACAAGAAGCACCGGCUAAUUCCGUGCCAGCAGCCGCGGUAAUACGGGGGGUGCAAGCGUUAAUCGGAAUUACUGGGCGUAAAGCGUGCGUAGGCGGUUUAUUAAGUCGNAUGUGAAAUCCCCGGGCUCAACCUGGGAACUGCAUUUGAAACUAUUNAACUAGAGUAUGGGAGAGGAAAGUGGAAUUUCUGGUGUAGCGGUGAAAUGCGUAGAUAUCGGAAGGAACACCANUGGCGAAGGCGGCUUUCUGGACCAAUACUGACGCUGAGGUUCGAAAGCGUGGGNAGCAAACAGGAUUAGAUACCCUGGUAGUCCACGCCGUAAACGAUGAUAACUAGCNGUUGGGGGGAUUUCCCCUCAGUGUCGCAGCUAACGCAUUAAGUNUCCGCCUG
rnacentral:rRNA from 1 species